rnacentral:rRNA from 1 species
ACGCUCGACACCUACGGAGGCAGCAGUGGGGAAUAUUGCACAAUGGAGGAAACUCUGAUGCAGCGAUGCCGCGUGAGGGAAGAAGGUUUUCGGAUUGUAAACCUCUGUCUUUGGGGACGAUAAUGACGGUACCCAAGGAGGAAGCUCCGGCUAACUACGUGCCAGCAGCCGCGGUAAUCUGAGGCGGGCUGGCAAGGC